UGCGCAGGUGGGGAUGUAAGUCAGUGGUGAAAUGUUGCCGCUCAACGGUAAAAUUGCCAUUGAUACUGCAUCUCUUGAGUAUGGUUGAGGUAGGCGGAAUGUGUUGUGUAGCGGUGAAAUGCAUAGAUAUGACACAGAACACCGAUUGCGAAGGCAGCUUACUAGGCCAUUACUGACGCUGAGGCACGAAAGCGUGGGGAGCGAACAGGAUUAGAUACCCUGGUAGUCC
rnacentral:rRNA from 1 species